UGGGGAAUAUUGGACAAUGGGCGCAAGCCUGAUCCAGCCAUGCCGCGUGAGUGAUGAAGGCCCUAGGGUUGUAAAGCUCUUUCACCGGUGAAGAUAAUGACGGUAACCGGAGAAGAAGCCCCGGCUAACUUCGUGCCAGCAGCCGCGGUAAUACGAAGGGGGCUAGCGUUGUUCGGAUUUACUGGGCGUAAAGCGCACGUAGGCGGACUUUUAAGUCAGGGGUGAAAUCCCGGGGCUCAACCCCGGAACUGCCUUUGAUACUGGAAGUCUUGAGUAUGGUAGAGGUGAGUGGAAUUCCGAGUGUAGAGGUGAAAUUCGUAGAUAUUCGGAGGAAAACCAGUGGCGAAGGCGGCUAACUGGACCAUUACUGACGCUGAGGUGCGAAAGCGUGGGGAGCAAACAGG
rnacentral:rRNA from 1 species